rnacentral:lncRNA from 13 species
AUCUACUGAUUUUGUCUGACCUGACCACCGGUUCCUUUCCUGUCCUCUUUAUUAGGAAACGUGUCGCUUGAAAACGUGAAAUCCUUGUAAUCGGAUUUUAUCUGUGUUUUUUCAUAAAAAUCUUCAAAAGAAAUAAUCAGAAUGCCUCCUAAAUUUGAUCCAAAUGAAAUAAAGAAAGUAUAUUUACGAUGCGUUGGUGGUGAGGUAGGAGCUACUUCGUCCCUUGCUCCUAAAAUCGGUCCUCUUGGUUUG